rnacentral:snRNA from 9 species
UUACUUACCUGGCGUAGGGAUACCGUGAUCAUGCAGGCGGUUCCCCCAGGCUGCUCCAUUGUACUGCGGAGUGGUUGACCCUUGCGAUUAUCUUUAUUUUUUAAAAGUUUCACUUCUACCCUGUGUGACUUGGACACACA